GACGUUAGCGGCGGACGGGUGAGUAACACGUGGGUAACCUACCUAUAAGACUGGAAUAACUCCGGGAAACCGGGGCUAAUGCCGGAUAACAUUUAGAACCGCAUGGUUCUAAAGUGAAAGAUGGUUUUGCUAUCACUUAUAGAUGGACCCGCGCCGUAUUAGCUAGUUGGUAAGGUAAUGGCUUACCAAGGCAACGAUACGUAGCCGACCUGAGAGGGUGAUCGGCCACACUGGAACUGAGACACGGUCCAGACUCCUACGGGAGGCAGCAGUAGGGAAUCUUCCGCAAUGGGCGAAAGCCUGACGGAGCAACGCCGCGUGAGUGAUGAAGGGUUUCGGCUCGUAAAACUCUGUUAUUAGGGAAGAACAAACGUGUAAGUAACUGUGCACGUCUUGACGGUACCUAAUCAGAAAGCCACGGCUAACUACGUGCCAGCAGCCGCGGUAAUACGUAGGUGGCAAGCGUUAUCCGGAAUUAUUGGGCGUAAAGCGCGCGUAGGCGGUUUCUUAAGUCUGAUGUGAAAGCCCACGGCUCAACCGUGGAGGGUCAUUGGAAA
rnacentral:rRNA from 1 species